GCUGAGGGAGUUGCGGGAAUCGUUAAUAAUUUUCACAGUGGCUCGUCAUUAACGAUGGGUACAAUCCCACAUUUGAAAAAAUGAAAAUUGAACUUGCGCAGAUUAUUCUGUUAAUAAAUGGACAAUAUGAAUAUGAAUGGAUAGUAUGAACGUGUUAAAUCUGCAUUUUUAAAGACGACAAAUCCAAAAGA